GUCAGGAGCUGCUUUUCCCAGCAGAGGCUAUGCUGAGGCACAGAAACUUCUCAAAACUCACUUUGGUGAUGGAUUCAAGAUUGGCAAUGCUUACAUGGAGAAGGCUGUCAAUUGGAGCAAUAUUAAGGCUGAGGAUGGCACUGCACUGCAUGACUAUGCCCUUUACCUGCGAGGAUGCUGCAAUGCUAUGAACACACUUAAAAGCAUGGAUAAUUUAGAAUAGAAUCAACGCUACUAGAGAGAGGUCUGAUGGCGCCAGUGUGUCAGGCUCGCCGUCAGGUGCUCUACCUGUUGUGUUUGUUUUUGCUGCUUUUAACGCUUGUACAUAACAUCAACGCUCUUCUGGUCUAUGAUCGCCAAACGUUGCUUGAUCUGAGAAACGCUGCUAUAAAUUUUCAAAAAUCGGAUUAUUGUGAAGGGGGGACACCUUUCCCACCGGAUCUCCCGGCCGACCUCCGCCGCACGCUUGCUCCACUACCUCGGAGAAGAAGGUACCGGCGACGGGGGAAACGUAGCGGCUAUCUCGUGAAGCUGAGGUUGGGGUUGGCACGUCCUGAUCGAUAUGGUGCUGCCCCUCGCCUGUGUGUCUCUCAGCGCUUCCUGGAUCCUGUUGCUUCCUCUCUGGUGAAGGUGACGGGCUGUGAUGAGGCCUUCCAGCCCCACCAUCCCUGCUCCCCUUGUUUACGCUGGCGUGGAGCAAAUCUGGAGUAUCUUCGGCCCCUGGCUCGCGCCCCAUCGUCAGCUGGUUGUCCGCCGGCUCCUGCUAGAUUUGGCUUGGUUAACGCCAGAUCACUUGGAAAUAAAGCUUUUAUCCUCAAGGACUUCUUCGUUACGCGGGAGCUGGACUUUCUUUUUAUCUCCGAGACCUGGCUAAGUGCGGGUGAGUCCGGAGUCUUUUCUGAUCUUCUACCUGACGAGUGCUCCUAUUUCAAUUCUCCCCGGUCGUCUGGUCGAGGAGGAGGAAUUGCGACUGUUUAUAAGAGUGACUUUAAAUGCAAACAAAUAUCGCGGCCAUCCCCCGCGAGCUUCGAACUGAGCUUAUUUGAGCUGGGUCAUCCCCACACUGUGUUGUGUGCUGUGAUUUAUCGUCCUCCCAAAUAUAACAAAGACUUUUUGAUGGACUUCUCUGUAUUCCUGUCGGAUAUUAUGCCGAAUUAUGACCGGGUCCUCAUUGUGGGGAAUUUUAACAUUCACGUCUGUUGUCCUGAGAAGAACUCAUUGGCGAGAGACUUUUUAAAUAUCAUUGACUCGUUUGACAUUGUCCAAGCUGUACUUGGGCCGACACAUGAACGCGGUCAUACACUUGACCUCGUCUUAUCCUAUGGUUUGCCCGUUUGCAAUCUGGAGAUCUGUGAUGCCUUUUUCUCUGAUCAUAUGCCUGUUCUGUUUGAAGCCGCUGUGAACCGUUUGACAGCUAAACCUUGCGCAGUCGCUCGCAAAUGUCGGGUUAUGAACCCCUCCACUGCCGCACGUUUUUCCACUGUUUUCAACCAGAACUGUGUUAUUCCUGAAAAUGUGUCAGAUGAUACUGAGUCACUGAACUGUUGGUUUCUCAACUGCUGUCAAACUGCCUUAGACAUUGUGGCUCCACAUAAAAUCAGACGGCAAUAAACUAAAUCGGAGGCUGAACCCUGGUUAAAUGAAACCACCAGGGCUUCUAGACAGGAGUGUAGAAGAGCUGAGAGAAAGUGGAAAAAGGACAAACUACAAGUGUCUUUCCAAAUUAUGCGAGAUUGCUGGCGCCACUACCAGUCGUCUGUGAGAGAGGCCAAAAGAAAAUAUUUUUCUGAGAUCAUUUUGUUAAAUUCUCACAAACCUCGUGCAUUGUUUAAGGUAAUUAACUCUGCUCUGAAUGCACCACAGGCGUUGCAAAUUGAGGGGUCUCCUGCUGUGUGUGAAGACUUUCUCAGGUUUUUCAUUGACAAAGUGACAUCUGCUAGAGC
ensembl:lncRNA